GCAGUUUGUGUCUGCAGUCCGUCUGCACCAACCUCAACCUUACUGCCUCGAAUCCGCGGACCGCUAUCGUCCGCGCCCAUCGUCAGCGGAUUGACCUUCUACUACUGCGGACUGACCUUGUCCGCGGUUUCUGUCCGCGGCCGACCCAUCUCCAUGGCUUGUCAUGUUUGCUUGUCCAAAUCUCCAAACUUCAACCUUAGUUUCUCCAAACCUGAAAUACCACAUAUGCAUAUGUUAUGCACCUAAUCAAACUCUAAAUGCAUCCUAAAUGAUCUAAAUGAGUAUGAAAAUGAUAGGUAAAACAUGUAAAAUCUCAUGACAUCAGGAGAUACUUGAGAUAUUAUGUAGCGUAUUGAAAAGUUAAGAAAUAAAAGUCUUUAUUUCAUUUUCUUGCAAAAAAUGGUUUGAGAAUUAAAUGAUCAAUUUCCUGUAAAAACAAUCCUAAUGUUUUAUAUAUAUAUUUGUGUUAAUUUUUGUAGUAAAAUGAUGUAACUUAAUUUGUCUCAUUUAACAUUUUAAAAGCCUCAGAUUUUUUAGAAGUAGCUAAAAUGUUGACAAUGGAAAAGCUUUUUUUUUUUUGUGCACAGGAAAAGCUUAUCUAACAGGCAUAUAUCAUAGGGCUGGACCACCAAGCACAAGUGGCUUCCACGGUUCCAUCUUGUUGUGCUUCUCAGGCGAAAUGCGUAAAGGAUUCAAUACGAGGUUAGAAUGUUAAUAGCCUUGAUCCCGAAACAAACAAUCAUAAGAUUUGUCUUAGAACUUGUCAAGCUUUAAGCCCUUUUACAAAAAAAAAAAAAAAAACUUGUCAAGCUUUUGCUUAAAAAGAAAACUAAUCAAAAUUUAAAGAAAUUUUAUUUUAUUUUACAUCUUAUAAUGUGGAUUAGUGUUGAUUGUUAUGGUUGGAAAGAUGUAAACAAAUACUAUCCUUUAUUGAACAUAUUAUCAGAUGCAUCAUAUAUAUAUAUAAAAAAUAGAAUGCAUCAUAUACUCCUUAUUCCUUAAUAGAUCCACUGUCUACAUCCACUUGGCGGCAUUCACCCAUUCAAGCUAUCUUUUUCUAAAAGAUCAAUUAUAUAGUGGGUGGAAAUUGGUACAAGUGGCUAGAGUUUGUACUACACUAUGAAUUCCCCAUUUGACGUUGUAAUCGGCGGAGAAUCACGUCCAUGCACAUGCCAAUAAUAACCGUAUGCAAACAAAUAGACAUCGAUUUUAGGACUUUAUACAGUUUAAAAUUAGAUAAUAUCAAAUAUCAAGAAAACAAAAAUGCUAAUUAACUAGAUAACUUUAGGGUUUAUAUAGGCUCCAAAACAUUGUUAUUUUUUAAUGCGGUAGAAGUACUAGUUUUGUUUGAUACCUCUGCUUUUUUUAAUUUAUUUGUUUAGACCAAAUAGAUCUAGCUCUGGUUUGCUUAAUGGUGAUAAAGUCAUGAUAACACUUUCUAUAUCAGUUUACUUCACCAUAAAACUACAUUUUAUGAUUAAGCUUCAAAAAGAAAGUCAACUCUCCAAUUUCAAAGUUUCCCAGAACCACUAGCUUACCUCGCAUGCACUCACUGCCUAUAUAAGUGAGACCUAACUCCUCAUACUUACUCACAACACAACCAAUAUAUUUUCUUCUUAACACAAACAUCAAUUCAAUAAUGAAUACUUUCACAGCCACAUCAGUUCUAAUCGUUGCGAUUAGCCUUUUGCUUAUUGCAUCCAGCGUUCAAAGUACUGAACAACAAGACUACUUAAACACUCACAACGCCGCACGUUCGCAGGUCGGAGUACCGAACCUUGUAUGGGACGCAACGGUCGCGAGGUACGCACUGAACUACGCAAAAGCUAGAAAAUCUGACUGCGACCUCGUGCACUCGACCGGACCGUAUGGAGAAAACCUAGCCAAGGGAAGUAGCAGCACGUUCUCGGCCAUAUAGGCCCUCAAUCUUUGGGUCGCUGAGAAACCUUACUACAACUACACUACCAAUUCUUGCACAGUCCGUCCAGUCGAUGCUCAUCCACCAUUCAAGUGCGAUUGCUCCGGUUCUGGGAGACCAUAAACGUCAGACGCUGCGAGAGCUGAUGGGCGUGGAUAUGCUCUUACUGGAUUCAAAGGUCAAGACAGAAGUCACUUUGAACCAAGGUCUGUCUCACCACCAAUUCCAAAUAAAUGUGACUUGGAAACUGAAACCUGCUGAGCUGGAUUUCCCUAAUGGCGCCAUGAUCGGAAAGGAAUUUUUUGAUGAGAUUGUCAAAGCUUUUAUUGGACAGGAACACCAACAGCAGUGAAACGUAUUCUUCCAUUUGUCUCAGAUGAUUGAUUGGUUACGUUAGCUUUUACCUCUCUCUUUUGUUAUAUCAACUGAAUUUCCUCAAAGGAUUUUAGCUGGUACCUUGGUAA